rnacentral:lncRNA from 1 species
UCUACUCUUACCUUUUCUACUCGAAGAAUAGUGGUUGUAAGAGGUCGAUCCACAGGGAGGCGAUUGGAGUUGCAUAAAAAUUAGAACAUUCACUCGGAUUUGAAAUCGAUUUUUGAAUAAUAAAAGAAAAAUAUUAUGUUGAAGCUGUUGAAUAUUUUCUAGCCUACCGAAGAAUUAUUUUUCAUUUGAAAAUAACGAAAAGACAAAUACUUGAAAUAGAAGAGCAUUUAUAAAUUCAUGAAAUAUUUAAUUAAUCAAAGGAAAACUUUGACAUGGAUGAAAACAAUGCUUAAGAAGAUUGAAGCUUGGAACAUAAAUUGCAUAAAGGAAAAUUAGAUGUAUUGCAUAAAAAGAAAAAUUUAACGAUUNN